rnacentral:lncRNA from 1 species
UAAAAAGUUUUUAUUUCAAGUGUUUUACUUGAUGUUAAUAUAAUCAAAUUGUUUGAAUAAGUUCAUCAGUUUCUUGGAAUAAAUUGAUUUAUUGCAUAGUUUUAAGUGCUCUGAAUAAAAAUCGAUGAUGAAAACUUUGUAGAUGCCCCAAAAAGACCUAAUGGUCUCGUCACAGAGCACCACGUAAGUGCAUUUAACCAGGAAAUUUACGCCUCCUGCUUUACUGCGACGCAAAAAUAUGUCCAAAUUUUGUUUCGAACCUGGAUCUCCUGCUAAUAAAUCAAGCGCUCUAACCACUGUGCUACAGCCGCUUAAUGAUUGCAUCUAAAAUUGCUUUGUCAUCAUUGAACAAAUCAUUUUGUUUAAAGUACGCAGUUACCCUUUUAGCAAUUAUUUGUUCAAACAUUUUUCUUAGUGGAGAUACUAUAGUAAUACUUCAAUAACUAUUGAUAUAUUGAA